CGGCAAUGAAAUACACACGUCAGGCGCCUGGGACUCGGCCUCUCCUCCAUCUUCGCUGACAUAAUAAACGGCUCGAUUUGAUGUUUAAUGCGCCCAUCGUACAAAUUAAACAAGAUAAUAUUGUCAUUGUAUUGAUUAAAAGUCACCCUACCCGCGGCGUAUUUCAUGCGGCCCCGCCACGGGGGAGGCCGCAGAGCAGCCCCCGGUCGCGCCAUUUGAAAUCAAUCAAGAGACGUCAAAGUGACUGGGCCUCGGGAGAAUGGAUGGGAACCCGGGGCGGCCCCGCACCUCUCCUCCGGAACACAGGCAGGCUUUUCCUGGCGGCCAACGGCCACACGGCCGCCCACUCCCUAAGGUUCGGGACUUCCGCGGCUCGGAGGCAAUUCCUGAACCUUUCCCAGCACGCUCCUCGCGCAGGAAGGCGCGGAAACCGCAAGCUCGUCCCAGCCAAGCGGACGGCUCCUAGAACAACCUGACCCAAGGUUAAAUGCCUGCAAGAAUCCGAUUCAACAAACACCUACUAAGCACCUUUAGCGGAGGCAGUGGGGGCGGAAGGUAAAAACCUCCGGCCCUGCUCUCCCGGGGCUGCUAGGAAAGACAAGGCCGGCCUCUGGAACCACUGGCAGGCCGUGCCCCUGGCCAGGUCUGUCUUAGGCAGACGGAACACUCAGGAACAACCAGGGAGGAAGAAAAGUCUUGAGUUGGGAAACCUGGGGCAGCUGGAGGGAGAAGGGAGAGCUCGAGACAGGGCUGGCAGAAGAGAGCCUGGAGGGCACAGUGAGCUCCGGGAGCAGGGAGAGGGCGAGAGCUGCACUUUAUCCAGGUGGACUGGAGAGAGGAGAGGCUUUGGGGCAAGGAGUCCAAGGGGAGGCAUACGCUAUGGGGCCAGGGAGGGGGCAAGGGAGGCAGAGAGAACAGAGAGAAAAUCUUGCAAAAGUUCAUCCAAGUCUCCUAGGGUAUCUCUUUACUCUUCCUACCCAUUAUUUCUUUUUUGUUGUUCACUUUAUUAUUGUUUCAAUCCUGUCUAACUCUUCCCGACUUUAUUUGAGGUUUUCUUGGCAGAGAUGCUACGGGGAUUUGUCGUUUCUUUCUCCAAUUCAUUUUACAGAUGAGGAAAUUGAGGCACAUGGGAUGAAGUGACUUAGCCAGGAUCAUACCACUGAAAAGUGUCUGAGGCUGGAUUUGAACUCAGGAAGAUGAGUUUCCCUCGGGCCUGGGGCUCUAUAGAAUAUGGUAUCUUCUAGCUGCCCCAUUACUUCUUUCUUUCUUUUUUUCUUUUUUUUUUUUUGCUGAGGCAAUUGGGGUUAAGUGACUUGCCCAGAGCCACACAGCCAGGAAGUGUUAAGUGUCUGAAGCCAGAUUAGAACUCAGGUCCUCCUGACUUCAGGGCUGGUGCUCUAUCCCCUGCGCCAUCUAGCUGCCCUCCCAUUAUUUCUUAUUCAGUAAUCCAUAUCUUUUACCAACCACAAAUUUAUCAGCCGUUCCCAAAUGUGGGCACCUCCCUGCUAGCCAGGCCUUCUCUAUGACAGAAAGUUCCAGUAUUCGUGGGACUCCUUGGAAGUCCAUGUCUCGUAGGGCACUUCUGUGGCCUUCUUAGCAUAAUUCUUACGUGCUUCCUCAAGUGGCUGGAAACCCUUCAUUUGACAUAGCUGACGGCAUCCUGUCUUCCCAGGCCUCUGCUUUUCUUUUGUCUCCAGCUAAGGCACCGUGCCUUAGCUGGAACACAGUAGGUGCUUAAUAAAUGCUACUUGACUUGACAAGGAGAGAAGACAGCCGAGUCCUGGAGGGACCAGCCUGGACACACAAUACGGAGAACAAGAAAGCAAGUAAUGCAAUAUAGGUUAAAUGUGUGCAAUUAGAAGAGAGACUUCAAAAGCUGGGAAGAGACUCACAGGUAUCGAUCUGGGGGAGCCAUUAUGCCGGCUGACUCACCCCUGGAACCUUGGAAAGCCUUUAAUGAGAACCAGAAUCCCGGCUAAGAGUCAAGAAUUCAGCCUUAGUCUCCGCAAAGGAAGAAGCAAGUAGAGGGAAGAAUGGCUGUUGCUGUCCUGAGCAAGAACAAGGAGGAAGAAGCCAGAGAAACUUGGGGCUCUUUUCACGAGCUGACAAACAGCAGAGACAUCAAGACAAAAUGGCGGCCGAUGGAAAUCAUUUCAAGUCACAGCAAAACAAGAUGGCAGCGAAGCGAACUCAUCUCAAACCGGUGACCAGUCAGGGGGAGGGCCCCUCCCUCCUCUCAGUAAAACAGGCUCAGCCACGGACGCAGAAGGAGGCACAAGUUAUUGGACACGAUCGAUGAGUCGGUUUGUUUUGCUUUACUGAACUGCUCUGUCACAAGAGAAGGGUCUUAUGGGUGUUAGCCGAAAAAUCAAUAGAACAUUUAAAAAGAA